rnacentral:rRNA from 1 species
AGUGAACGCUGGCGGUAGGCCUAACACAUGCAAGUCGAACGGCAGCACAGUAAGAGCUUGCUCUUACGGGUGGCGAGUGGCGGACGGGUGAGGAAUACAUCGGAAUCUACUUUUUCGUGGGGGAUAACGUAGGGAAACUUACGCUAAUACCGCAUACGACCUACGGGUGAAAGCAGGGGAUCUUCGGACCUUGCGCGAUUGAAUGAGCCGAUGUCGGAUUAGCUAGUUGGCGGGGUAAAGGCCCACCAAGGCGACGAUCCGUAGCUGGUCUGAGAGGAUGAUCAGCCACACUGGAACUGAGACACGGUCCAGACUCCUACGGGAGGCAGCAGUGGGGAAUAUUGGACAAUGGGCGCAAGCCUGAUCCAGCCAUACCGCGUGGGUGAAGAAGGCUUUCGGGUUGUAAAGCCCUUUUGUUGGGAAAGAAAAGCAGCAGGUUAAUACCCCGCUGUUCUGACGGUACCCAAAGAAUAAGCGCCGGCUAACUUCGUG